ensembl:lncRNA
CUUUUUUUUUAUAUCAGAGAACCUUUUGGAUCCUGCUCUCCAUGCAGAGUUCCUAAAAGCUGCAUCUGAGGCACUGCCAAAAGCGUUGCGUAAGUUACAAGGCUUUUUGAAGAUUCCAGACAACAAAAUGCAAAAGUGGAUUAAGAGUCUGAUUUCAUAGUUAAUGGUUUUCAUUGUGUUGAAUGAUUUCUUUUCAUUAUGUUUUAGAAAACCUAAAAAAUGGCAAAAGUUCACUGGACCAUUUUUUUGGUCUUCUGGGUGGGGUCAUGAUUGGCACCUCUGGCCAUAGGCCAUGUGUUAUCAUGAACCUCACCACAGAGGAAUUCCUAUCAGCCAAAGAGGGCAAGGAUGGCCAUGCCAUUUUUGUCAAAAACCACAAAACGAACAACACUUUCGGCCAUGCAAUACUCCCCAUAACAAAUGGGGAGUACAAUUGCAUGGCAGAGUUCCUUAAAAUUCGUGGUAGCUUUGAAGGGAGCCAGUCAGCCCACUUCUUUUUUAAUAAAAAGGGUGGGCUGUAUAAGGGCCUCCUCAAGGCCUUCAUGAAUGUAUGGGAAGAUAUGGGCCUUCCAAAACCUGCCCCAACCUUUAUGAGCCUCAGAACAUCAAUGUCCACGCAGGUAAGUGUAAAUUAUGAUACACACACACACACACACACACACUUUCUCUCUCUGUCAUACAUUCUCUCAAACACAUACACACACACAGACACUUUCUCAAACACACUCUCUCACACAUUCACGCAUGUUUCUGUGAAUUGUGGGGACUUUCCAUAGUCUUCUGUUGUUUUUAUACUGACCAAACACCAUUUUUAUCCCCUAACCCAAUCCUACCCCUUACAGAAAACCUGUUUGCAUUGUUACAUUUUCAGAUAAACAUCAUAUAGUAUUUUUUUUUCCUCAUGGGGACCACAGGCCGGACCGGACCCCACACAAUGUCAAAAGUUUCAGGUUGCGUCACUUUGACAGCGAAUAACUUUACAUCUGAGGCGUUUAAAGACUCCAUUUGUCCAUUAUUUAUUUCUAAAGAUACACGACAAUGUAUAAAGGGUUCCAUUACCUUCUAUGUUACAUUAUGGCCCCGUAGAAACAGUUUUUGUAAAAAUAGGCUGACGAUUGCGUCAUAACCACUCGACUCUCUGUCGCACAGUAGAGAAAUUACCGUACAGACAGGAGGAGAAGCUCGCAGUCAAUCGGGGAGACGUCAAGAGAUAUGGCGUACUGGCGUUACAUUUUAAAAUACUAUACAAAAUAAUUAAUCAGAAUACUUACUCCUGCUCACUCAGGCCAAAGAACUCCCCGCUCAAGCUCGCCGUCUCUGCAAGAUUAACGAUGGCAGUUUGCACGCACAGCUACUAGAAGGUUUACAUCUGUCAGACAGGUUGCUGACGUCAUCAAGCUUAGUUUGAGUCUGCGCGUCAGAAACGGAAGUGCUAAAAAUCGCUAAAAAUGGGCUUCACUUGUCUCAAUUGAGUUCCAAUGGGGUCGCUGUGUCCAUUUCUUUUACUGUCUAUGAUUGUCCCUCAUGUUGUGACAGGUGAACACAUAUUCAGCUGCUAGAAUGCAACAGGCUGCACAUAACACCAGUAAAAGUAGCAAUUUAUCAUUGUUUGACAGGCUGAAAUCUCUGGUGUA